GCCUGCGUGGCGCAAUCGGCUAGCGCGUUCGGCUGUUAAUAGAAAGGUUGGUGGUACGAGCCCACCCGAGGGCA
rnacentral:tRNA from 1 species